ACGCUCGACACCUACGGGAGGCAGCAGUGGGGAAUAUUGCACAAUGGGGGAAACCCUGAUGCAGCGACGCCGCGUGGAGGAAGAAGGUCUUCGGAUUGUAAACUCCUGUUGUUGGGGAAAAGAGGAUGGUACCCAACAAGGAAGUGACGGCUAACUACGUGCCAGCAGCCGUGGUAAUCUGAGCGGGCUGGCAAGGC
rnacentral:rRNA from 1 species